AUUGAACGCUGGCGGCAGGCUUAACACAUGCAAGUCGAACGAUGAUUAUCUAGCUUGCUAGAUAUGAUUAGUGGCGGACGGGUGAGUAACAUUUAGGAAUCUGCCUAGUAGUGGGGGAUAGCUCGGGGAAACUCGAAUUAAUACCGCAUACGACCUACGGGUGAAAGGGGGCGCAAGCUCUUGCUAUUAGAUGAGCCUAAAUCAGAUUAGCUAGUUGGUGGGGUAAAGGCCCACCAAGGCGACGAUCUGUAACUGGUCUGAGAGGAUGAUCAGUCACACCGGAACUGAGACACGGUCCGGACUCCUACGGGAGGCAGCAGUGGGGAAUAUUGGACAAUGGGGGCAACCCUGAUCCAGCCAUGCCGCGUGUGUGAAGAAGGCCUUUUGGUUGUAAAGCACUUUAAGCAGGGAGGAGAGGCUAAUGGUUAAUACCCAUUAGAUUAGACGUUACCUGCAGAAUAAGCACCGGCUAACUCUGUGCCAGCAGCCGCGGUAAUACAGAGGGUGCGAGCGUUAAUCGGAAUUACUGGGCGUAAAGCGAGUGUAGGUGGCUCAUUAAGUCACAUGUGAAAUCCCCGGGCUUAACCUGGGAACUGCAUGUGAUACUGGUGGUGCUAGAAUAUGUGAGAGGGAAGUAGAAUUCCAGGUGUAGCGGUGAAAUGCGUAGAGAUCUGGAGGAAUACCGAUGGCGAAGGCAGCUUCCUGGCAUAAUAUUGACACUGAGAUUCGAAAGCGUGGGUAGCAAACAGGAUUAGAUACCCUGGUAGUCCACGCCGUAAACGAUGUCUACUAGCCGUUGGGGUCCUUGAGACUUUAGUGGCGCAGUUAACGCGAUAAGUAGACCGCCUGGGGAGUACGGCCGCAAGGUUAAAACUCAAAUGAAUUGACGGGGGCCCGCACAAGCGGUGGAGCAUGUGGUUUAAUUCGAUGCAACGCGAAGAACCUUACCUGGUCUUGACAUAGUGAGAAUCCUGCAGAGAUGCGGGAGUGCCUUCGGGGAUUCACAUACAGGUGCUGCAUGGCUGUCGUCAGCUCGUGUCGUGAGAUGUUGGGUUAAGUCCCGCAACGAGCGCAACCCUUUUCCUUAUUUGCCAGCGGGUUAAGCCGGGAACUUUAAGGAUACUGCCAGUGACAAACUGGAGGAAGGCGGGGACGACGUCAAGUCAUCAUGGCCCUUACGACCAGGGCUACACACGUGCUACAAUGGUAGGUACAGAGGGUUGCUACACAGCGAUGUGAUGCUAAUCUCAAAAAGCCUAUCGUAGUCCGGAUUGGAGUCUGCAACUCGACUCCAUGAAGUCGGAAUCGCUAGUAAUCGCAGAUCAGAAUGCUGCGGUGAAUACGUUCCCGGGCCU
rnacentral:rRNA from 1 species